GCCUGGGUGGCUCAGUAGUUUGAGCAUCCAACUUUGGCUCAGGUCACAAUCUCGUGGUUUGUGGGUUCUAGUCCCACAUCGGGCU
rnacentral:tRNA from 1 species